rnacentral:rRNA from 1 species
UUGACUGGGGCGGUCUCCUCCUAAAGAGUAACGGAGGAGCACGAAGGUUGGCUAAUCCUGGUCGGACAUCAGGAGGUUAGUGCAAUGGCAUAAGCCAGCUUGACUGCGAGCGUGACGGCGCGAGCAGGUGCGAAAGCAGGUCAUAGUGAUCCGGUGGUUCUGAAUGGAAGGGCCAUCGCUCAACGGAUAAAAGGUACUCCGGGGAUAACAGGCUGAUACCGCCCAAGAGUUCAUAUCGACGGCGGUGUUUGGCACCUCGAUGUCGGCUCAUCACAUCCUGGGGCUGAAGUAGGUCCCAAGGGUAUGGCUGUUCGCCAUUUAAAGUGGUACGCGAGCUGGGUUUAGAACGUCGUGAGACAGUUCGGUCCCUAUCUGCCGUGGGCGCUGGAGAACUGAGGGGGGCUGCUCCUAGUACGAGAGGACCGGAGUGGACGCAUCACUGGUGUUCGGGUUGUCAUGCCAAUGGCAUUGCCCGGUAGCUAAAUGCGGAAGAGAUAAGUGCUGAAAGCAUCUAAGCACGAAACUUGCCCCGAGAUGAGUUCUCCCUGAGACUUUAGGUCUCCUGAAGGAACGUUGAAGACGACGACGUUGAUAGGCCGGGUGUGUAAGCGCAGCGAUGCGUUGAGCUAACCGGUACUAAUGAACCGUGAGGCUUAACCUUACAACGCCGAAGCUGUU